rnacentral:rRNA from 1 species
AACGAACGCUGGCGGCAUGCCUAACACAUGCAAGUCGAACGAGACCUUCGGGUCUAGUGGCGCACGGGUGCGUAACGCGUGGGAACCUGCCCUUAGGUUCGGAAUAACUCCCCGAAAGGGGUGCUAAUACCGGAUAAUGUCUUCGGACCAAAGAUUUAUCGCCUUUGGAUGGGCCCGCGUUGGAUUAGCUAGUUGGUAGGGUAAAAGCCUACCAAGGCGCCGAUCCAUAGCUGGUCUGAGAGGAUGAUCAGCCACACUGGGACUGAGACACGGCCCAGACUCCUACGGGAGGAAGCAGUGGGGAAUAUUGGACAAUGGGCGAAAGCCUGAUCCAGCAAUGCCGCGUGAGUGAUGAAGGCCUUAGGGUUGUAAAGCUCUUUUACCCGGGAUGAUAAUGACAGUACCGGGAGAAUAAGCUCCGGCUAACUCCGUG